rnacentral:lncRNA from 1 species
UUCUGUCUAACUCCCAAACCAUAUUCCUGCCUGCAUAAAAUACUGCCAUCCCCAGUUCCUGAUACUGAGCGGAAUCCUGCUUCCCCAGGUCAGUCGGAUUCUCACGUGACUUCCUGGCAGUAACUGGAUUCCAAUUAAAAUCUACUCUUCUCAAAUCCUGCACCCACAGCCUUGACACGGACUGGUUUUCUCAAGUGAAGGGAUCACUGCUUGGAGAGGUCCCUAUGUCAUUUGCCAGUAUUUCUUCAGAACACUGUUUUUAUUUGAAAGAAUGACUGACAGAAACACUAUGGUUAUUCAGACUUGGAUAUUUGAAUGAAUUGAGCCUGCCACUUCAAGGAAAAAUGACGGGAAGUAUUUUUGCUGAUGAUACAAAAAUUUGAACUUUGAAGCAAAAAUGAUAAUUUUAGAAAAUGUAGUAUCCACUACAGUGAGC